GCUCCGUGGCCCAGUGGUCAGAACAUCCGCCUCGGAUGCGGGAGGUCAUGGGUUAGAUCCCAUGCCGAAUCG